CUCCACCACUCCUAGAUCCCAUUUAAGGGCUGACCACUAACUCUCUUGAUAGAGAUUGCUCCUUAGUGGAGUUUUUGUGGUGAGCCUCAACAUUGGUGAGCAUCCAUCUUGACUGUGAGCAUCAGCAUUGAUUGCCCCUGUGUGGAGUUCUUGUGGCAAGUCUCACCAUUGGCAAGCAUCCAUCUUGUCUGAAGGCUACAGCAUUGACUUGAACAGCAGAAUCCAAGCAAUUAAUGCUUCACAGUGACUACACAUAGGAAAUUCUGGUGAUUACAGUGAAAUUGUAAAGAGUUCUCAUUGCCAAAACAACUGCUCCAAUGUUAAAAUCACAAUAUUUCCACAAUUUUUGUGAGAAAAUAAGUACCUGCAAGGCAUUUCUGUCCCGCAUUGCAAUUUCAAAGGAAGUAAUGACCACAGGAUGGAUUUUCAGUGAUCCUUGUCGCCCGUGAAUUUUAC